AAAGAAUAUAAGUAUUCCCUUUACAUAACACUUCUACAACGAAUCGAAAGUUGUGAAGUAAUCUGUACUGAUAAAAAAUUAACAUAACAAAUCUCUUUUAAUUUCUUGAAAUUAGGCUCCACCCAUGAAUAGGGUUUAAGAAACAUACUAUGAACAUUCUUUUUCAUUUUCGAAAAGGUUUAGCAGAAAUUCAUCAGCAAACCGCUCUAGCUUACGGGUACGGAGGGUGAUCAGCCCCGUUGUACCCUGUAUUGAUCAAUACUACAUAACUCUGAACGAAAUUCAUCGUUUUAUUCUAUCCGCCUUGGGCGCAAAAAUUUUCCUAUAUAGGGAUGUUCAUACAUGCCUGGUUCCAAACCCGAAGGUUUUUAAUCUUGCUCAACAAUAAUAUGUAAUUCAACAUAUAUAUAUACGGGUAAUUGACAAAGGUAUAUCAACAUGUGAAUAAAUGCCAUGAUUAUCCAAGUGGGGACACUUGUAUAACCAUUUAGAAAUCAACUUAACAGAGUAGAUAUCUGAGCUAACAUGUUGAUAAUCAAAGCGUACAUAAUUUGUACAGGAAUAGAAUAAUUCUGAAACUUCUUACUCAUGUCCAUUGCAUAAAGGAAAUGCAAAGGUAAGAUACUUUCCUGAUUUGCUGAUUAUACAUCUCAUCUUAGGUUUUAUCUCUUUAUCACAACCUAUCAAUAAUUAGAUCAUUCGUUCGAUUAGAACAAUAUAUCAUAACACAUAGUACUGUCUAUUACAGUCAGCACAUAGUCUAAUCAC
rnacentral:lncRNA from 1 species